AGCAGUAGCCGCGGGAAUACGGAGGGGGCUAGCGUUGUUCGGAAUUACUGGGCGUAAAGCGCACGUAGGCGGCUUGGUAAGUUAGAGGUGAAAGCCUGGAGCUCAACUCCAGAAUUGCCUUUAAGACUGCCGAGCUAGCAGGUGAGAGAGGUGAGUGGAAUUCCGAGUGUAGAGGUGAAAUUCGUAGAUAUUCGGAAGAACACCAGUGGCGAAGGCGGCUUACUGGCUCAUACUGGACGCUGAGGUGCGAAAGCGUGGGGAGCAAACAGGAUUAGAUACCCCGGUAGUCCCUGUCUCUUAUAC
rnacentral:rRNA from 1 species